rnacentral:rRNA from 1 species
GUGUCAGCAGCCGCGGUAAUACGGAGGGGGCUAGCGUUGUUCGGAAUUACUGGGCGUAAAGCGCACGUAGGCGGCGCGACAAGUCAGAGGUGAAAGGCCUGGGCUCAACCUGGGAACUGCCUUUGAUACUGGCGUGCUUGAGUCCGGAAGAGGGUGGCGGAAUUCCCAGUGUAGAGGUGAAAUUCGUAGAUAUUGGGAAGAACACCGGUGGCGAAGGCGGUCACCUGGUCCGGUACUGACGCUGAGGUGCGAAAGCGUGGGGAGCAAACAGGAUUAGAUACCCCGGUAGUCC